rnacentral:rRNA from 1 species
AAUGAACGCUGGCGGCGUGCCUAACACAUGCAAGUCGUACGAGAAAUCCCGAGCUUGCUUGGGAGAGUAAAGUGGCGCACGGGUGAGUAACGCGUGGGUAACCCACCUUCGAAUCUGGGAUAACUCCGCGAAAGCGGUGCUAAUACCGGAUAAGACCACAGCCGUUUCGGCGGCAGAGGUAAAAGCUGACCUCUUCAUGGAAGUUAGCGUUCGAGGACGGGCCCGCGUCCUAUCAGCUUGUUGGUGGGGUAAAGGCCUACCAAGGCAGCGACGGGUAGCUGGUCUGAGAGGAUGAUCAGCCACACUGGAACUGGAACACGGUCCAGACUCCUACGGGAGGCAGCAGUGAGGAAUUUUGCGCAAUGGGGGAAACCCUGACGCAGCAACGCCGCGUGGGUGAAGAAGGCUUUCGGGUCGUAAAGCCCUGUCAGGUGGGAAGAACCGUUUCGAUACUAAUAAUGUCGAAGCCUGACGGUACCACCAGAGGAAGCACCGGCCAACUCCGUG